ensembl:lncRNA
CUACAGAGAACCAGAAACAAUCAAAAUUCAUGUUGGUAGAGCAAAGUCACCAAAAUGCAUCUACAAAACUUCCUACAACUAAGGCUCAGGUUCCUUCUUUUUAUUGGCUUCACCUGCCUCUGCUGACCUGUCCUGAAGGAACUGCACAAACUGAGUGGAACUCAAUUACUCAAGAGAACUCAACAGCGCUGAAUGAACUGCACUGACUGAACUGAUUUGAACUCCACUGCCUGAUGGCAGCUGAACUACACUCAAUGUACUUCUCUCCCUUCUUGACUCACUGUGCAGUGCUCUUCAGUAGCCUCUUUUUCCCGUCUAAUGUGAGUUGUAGGUUUCCUAGCUCUGACUCAUUCUGUGAACUCUUUUUCUGUUUGUCCUCUUUUCUGGCCUUAAAUUAGAUGUCACUUUUAAACUUCC